CGGGUGAGUAAUGUCUGGAAAACUGCCUGAUGGAGGGGGAUAACUGCUGGAAACGGUAGCUAAUACCGCAUAACGUCGCAAGACCAAAGAGGGGGACCUUCGGGCCUCUUGCCAUCGGAUGUGCCCAGAUGGGAUUAGCUAGUAGGUGGGGUAACGGCUCACCUAGGCGACGAUCCCUAGCUGGUCUGAGAGGAUGGCCAGCCACACUGGAACUGAGACACGGUCCAG
rnacentral:rRNA from 1 species